UACGGAGGGUGCAAGCGUUAUCCGGAUUCACUGGGUUUAAAGGGUGCGUAGGUGGGCAGUUAAGUCAGUGGUGAAAUCUCCGGGCUUAACCCGGAAACUGCCAUUGAUACUAUCUGUCUUGAAUACCGUGGAGGUGAGCGGAAUAUGUCAUGUAGCGGUGAAAAUGCUUAGAUAUGACAUAGAACACCAAUUGCGAAGGCAGCUCACUACACGAAUAUUGACACUGAGGCACGAAAGCGUGGGGAUCAAACAGGA
rnacentral:rRNA from 1 species